rnacentral:lncRNA from 1 species
AUUUUGAUUUUAAAUUUUAAAUUUGAAUUCAAAAUUUAAAUUUGAAUUUAAGAUUUGAUUCCAAUUAUAAAUUUGAAUUUAACUUUGAAUUCAAAUUCGCAUUACGGCUGAGACUUAAUUGUAAUGAAAUCAAUGGGUUAAUUUCAUAAAGGUCCUUGCAAACAAAGUGAUUUGCAGAUAUAUUCCUGCAAAGUUCAACUUUCAUAAGUUAUUUCUGCAAAAGUCCUAAUGUAUUCAGAUAUGUCUCUAUAGUUAGAACCCGUUAGAGAACUGUUUAUUUUUUAAUAAUAGACUCGUGAAAUGACAUUUUUAUCCUCAUAAAUAUAUCCCUCCAAAAUAAUUUUGUCCUCUUCCUCUUUCUCUUUCUUUUCAAGCUGCAGGAGCGGGUGGCGGCGGCGGCGGCGGCGUCGCGGAGCUUGGAAUUGCGACCGACGAGGACAAGGCUGAGGCACGCAACGGCGAAGCGGAAGGCGAAGGUGCGGCCGA